UACGUAGGGGGCUAGCGUUGUCCGGAUUUAUUGGGCGUAAAGAGCACGCAGGCGGUUUGGCAAGUCGGAUGUGAAAACCCGGAGCUCAACUCCGGGCGUGCAUCCGAUACUGCCCGACUAGAGGUAGGUAGGGGAGAUCGGAAUUCCUGGUGUAGCGGUGAAAUGCGCAGAUAUCAGGAGGAACACCAAUGGCGAAGGCGGCUCUCUGGGACGGUACUGACGCUGAGACGCGAAAGCGUGGGGAGCAAACAGG
rnacentral:rRNA from 1 species